rnacentral:rRNA from 1 species
UACGAAGGGGGCUAGCGUUGUUCGGAAUUACUGGGCGUAAAGCGCACGUAGGCGGUUUUUUAAGUCAGAUGUGAAAGCCCCGGGCUCAACCUGGGAAUUGCAUUUGAAACUGGCCAACUAGAGUAUGUGAGAGGGGGGUAGAAUUCCAAGUGUAGCGGUGAAAUGCGUAGAGAUUUGGAGGAAUACCAGUGGCGAAGGCGGCCCCCUGGCACAAUACUGACGCUCAGGUGCGAAAGCGUGGGGAGCAAACAGG